UACGGAGGGUGCAAGCGUUAAUCGGAAUUACUGGGCGUAAAGGGUGCGUAGGUGGUUAAGUAAGUUAUCUGUGAAAUCCCUGGGCUCAACCUGGGCAGGUCAGAUAAUACUGUUUAACUCGAGUAUGGGAGAGGGUAGUGGAAUUUCCGGUGUAGCGGUGAAAUGCGUAGAGAUCGGAAGGAACACCAGUGGCGAAGGCGGCUACCUGGCCUAAUACUGACACUGAGGCACGAAAGCGUGGGGAGCAAACAGG
rnacentral:rRNA from 1 species